GGUUGUGUAGUGUAGUGGUUAGCACUUUGGAUUUUGAAGAGGCGCCACCUCUCAUUCCAACAACCCCGGUUCGAACCCGGGCACGACCU
rnacentral:tRNA from 2 species